rnacentral:rRNA from 1 species
CUACGGGGCGCAGCAGUGAGGAAUAUUGCACAAUGGGGGGAACCCUGAUGCAGCAACGCCGCGUGGAGGAUGACGCAUUUCGGUGUGUAAACUCCUUUUAUAUGUCAAGAAAAUGACGGUAGCAUAUGAAUAAGCACCGGCUAACUCCGUGCCAGCAGCCGCGGUAAUACGGAGGGUGCAAGCGUUACUCGGAAUCACUGGGCGUAAAGGACGCGUAGGCGGGUUGGAAAGUCAGGUGUGAAAUCCUACAGCGUAACUGUAGAACUGCCCUUGAAACUUCUAAUCUGGAGGAUGGGAGGGGGAGAUGGAAUUAGUGGUGUAGGGGUAAAAUCCGUAGAUAUCACUAGGAAUACCUAAAGCGAAGGCGAUCUCCUGGAACAUUACUGACGCUAAGGCGUGAAAGCGUGGGGAGCAAACAGGAUUAGAUACCCGGGUAGUC